rnacentral:rRNA from 1 species
UACGUAGGGUGCAAGCGUUAAUCGGAAUUACUGGGCGUAAAGCGUGCGCAGGCGGUCUUGCAAGACAGAUGUGAAAUCCCCGGGCUUAACCUGGGAAUGGCAUUUGAGACUGCAUAGCUAGGGUGCGGAAGAGGGAAGCGGAAUUUCCGGUGUAGCGGUGAAAUGCGUAGAUAUCGGAAGGAACACCAGUGGCGAAAGCGGCUCCCUGGUCCAGCACCGACGUUCAGGCACGAAAGCGUGGGGAGCAAACAGG